ensembl:snRNA U6 U6 spliceosomal RNA
GUGCUCGCUUCAGCAGCACAUAUACUAAAAUUGGAACGAUACAGAGAAGAUUAGCAUGGCCCCUGUGCAAGGAUGACAUGCAAAUUCGUGAAGUGUUUCAUAUUUUU